CUGCCCGUGGCGUUGCUCUUGGUGCCUCGCUUCUGCUCGCUCGCUCUCUAAUGUUCAUCAGGACUGUAUGCUGCAGGGCUAUUCUCUCAUCAAUCUCUCCUCUCGCAUUGCAUUUGAUUGCACUCCAUGGCCUGGCAUUUCAUCCCAUUCCACUUGUUCAUGGUAGAUGCUGGCUUUGCUCUGAGCAUCUUUUGCUUGGGAGCUCGGCAUGAGUCGUUGUGGAGGACAAAGGGUGGUUGUUGUUGGGAUGUGUGUGUGUGUGAUGUUAGCGCCGGGUGCUGAGAUGGAGAGUGGCAUUUUUGAAGUGUUGCUUUUAUAAUUUGAGGCUUCGUUCCUAGACGGGCGUCUUGGUAUGCUUUAUGACGCUACUUUGAGUUCUUUUUGUUUUUUCGGUGAGUGCACUGGCUUUGUGAGCCGAUGCGGCUCAAGUUGGAAGGCAGAGGGAGGGAAUUCGCUCCAACUGCAGGAGAAGAGAUCCCUUUAUUUCGAUCUUUCGUGUUGCAACCGGGAUUAUUUGUCGUGAGUUAAUUAUACUUCCAUUGUAGCCUCGUGUGGCCUUAACGAGCUCUGAAGGUGUGUUGGCGAGCGUUGUUUACACAUCGAAGGAGCCAAUUGAAAAAUCAUGUCGCAGCCGACACUGAGUUCGAGCAAUGUUCCUUCUGGAGUACCGCCCCCUCUCCAUGCAUUCGUCAGCAGCAGUAAAUUUAAUCCUAGUAUGGCUAUCAUCAUUGUUGUUCUUCUUUGCGCAUUGAUUGUGGUAGCCAUUUUUUCAAUGUAUGUUAGAAGGUGCACUCAAGGGGGCCGCGAUGAAACCAGCAAUCGAGUUACACCAGCAAGAAAUGGAAAUCAAUUUAUUCAUUUUUAUGAGCGACCGGGGGAGGGACUAGAUAGAGUACUUGUAGAUGCGCUACCCGUGGUGAGCUUCUCUGUGGUGAAAACUUUGAAGAGCGGGAAAGAGGACUUGGAGUGCGCUGUCUGCUUAGAGAAAUUUAAUGAAGAUGAGGCUUUGCGGUUGUUGCCACAAUGCAGUCAUGUAUUCCAUACUGAAUGCAUUGAUCUGUGGUUUCACUCGCAUUCAACUUGUCCUUUAUGUCGUAUGAGCCUUAAACCUACUUUUGAUGGGAUCGGUGCUGGCGUCCCCGAGAUCGGCGAGGUUUCAAGGCGUAUACUCGAUGCCCAGGAUGAGAUAUUUGGUUCUGCGAGACAUGUGCUCGAUGUAGACAGUCCCAUUUUUGAGAAUGAAGUUCCUUACGGAAGCAGUAGUAGAGUGGAGCAGAUCAUUGGAAGAGACGAUGAGAGUAGUGCCAGAACGACACUCUUUCGGAACUUGGAUUCCUUCAGGCAAGCAGCUCGAGGAGUCGAAAUGCGGGAAAGACUUGCCACUCUUUCAGCUAGAUAUCCAGCUUCUUCUACAGAUGUGCAUUUAGAGUGUCCUCAAAGAUCAUGAAGCUUAAGCUGCAUCAACCUUUCGCUUCAGAGGACAGGUUCUGCGGGUGCUGCAGAAAUAGGGGAGUUUCUCAACAGUGAAGACUUCAAAUAUGGAUCACCAAGACCCGGUGUCGCUGGACCUUCCUUGAACAACUCUUUAGGAAGGCGAGGUAGUCUAAACGAGUGUGGGCUAAAAACACUGGCAGCUGGAGUAACAGUAAUCGAAGGGCAACAUUUGUAGAAGAGGGGGCGUUGUUUUCAUCAAGCUGAUAGCAAUGGACAACUGUAGAUCUAAAUGGCGUGCCACAUGCAUAUAUACGGAAGGGCUCAACCAGCGAUAAAUUUUCGUGAUUCAGAUAUCCCAACUGUCCCCAACUCCCGACAAUUGCCAUGCAAGCUCUGUACUUGUUAAGGCAUUCUGACUAGAAAAGAAAGUGAAUGCAGCUCAUCGUAAAUCCAGAAGUGUGAACGAAUGCGGACAAAGUUCAGGGGGAGUGUACUAAGCCUUCGAGGUGUACUAAGCCUUCGAGGUGUACUCUUAUUGCACAGAUCGACCUCAUUUUCCCCGUUGAGCACCUUCCAUCUCGAACGCGACCGACAUCCCUCACUGUGGAUAGAAGGCCUGGUGCACAAAUUGAAAAAUUUCCAAACUUUGCUUCGACGAAGAUUCAGUGGCAAUCAGAAGAGCACAAGGACUCCAGAUGUAACUCUGCCAAAGCAUCGUUGGAACUUAGGAUUAAACUGCAGGAGGUUGUAUCUGAGUGAAACUGGAGUUAAACUGGACUCCUCAAAUUUUUGCUUGGCUUUUUUCUGUAUGCGGAAGCCUGGAUAUAUAGAAACAACAUGGCCAUCAAUUACCCGUAGACUGAUUCCAGAAGUUAUCCACAUAACCGAGCUACAGCAGUCACUCUUUUAGCACGGACAUCAUCGACGUUUCUUUUCAAAUUGCUAAGUUUUUAUGGAUUCUCCAAGUAACACUGCACUCGGUCUUAUUAUUACUGAGUGAUUAUCGUCUACGGGGCAUUAUUGCAUUUGUGAAUGCCUUAUUUUAUACCUUAACACGCUCGAAUAUAGAUUCAGGUAGAGGUCGGUUACACCGAUGGAGUCUCGACACUUAGAAGAGGUCGAUUUGACUACAUAUACCCAACCAUAGUGCCACUAGGAGCAAGUGACAGGACAAUACAUCCGACUUCGUCGUCUUGAAACUUCAACAAAUAAAGAUAAAAAAAAUAAAACACAAAAAAUAAAACCAAAAGCAUAAAGUAUCUUUCCAUGGAUUCUAACAAUGCUCUCUCCGUGCGUAUAUCACUCCAGGUUUUAGAUUUGAGCUCCCCAUCAAGGAUGGCCUCUCAAAAAGACUUGGCUUACUGGAGCUGGAAUGUGGGUAUCAAACAAGACUUGCAUCUUGCGAAGAGGACUUAAUCUAAGAAGGAACAGUUGUAGACGAGUUCAGUGGCCGGAAUCACUGCUAUGCAGCGCAGACGAUCUUUGUGAAACAGAUUUCAGCAGUUCGUAGCGGGGGGACGAUGGAUCUUGUAACUUCCAUUAGCUCUGGGCUGUACCAUAACCCAACAUUGCACGUUGCUUCAAAUGUUUGGGGUCGUUUCCAAUGGAGAGCUUUCACGACUUUUUGCCAUGCUUUGCCUAUCUGUAACCAUAUCUUCGACCCUGGAGCUCUUUUAUGAUUUUGUGCCAUACACCAGUUUAGGUCUGGCCCCCAGUUUCCUGCUUUAGUAGGUUGAUAUUGGAGGAGACAAUAGCGGAGGAACUUAAGUAAGUUAAAGUUACCAGGCUCGCAUGCUCGAAGCACCCACUUGCUUAACAGGCAGUUGGUAGCAUCGUCGGGGUCUGUGAGACUUAAACCUCCCACUUUGUAUUUCAGAAUACAAGUUUUCCAUGCUACCCUUGCUCUAGCUCGAUACUCUCUUCCUGCCCAUAAGUAAUUCCGCAGGAGGGCUUUGACUUGUUUAAUUACUUUCCUUGAACUAGCCAAAACUCCUAUAAAAUACCAAAGCGAGGACAUAAGUACUUGAUUAACAAUUAAUAUUCGACCUGCUAGGGAUAGCUUCGAGUUUCACCAAUAUGUGAGCUUCUUUUUGAUCUUCUCCAGUAGGAAAUUGUCCACAUCAGGUGUUCUAAUAGAAAGUCCAAAGAGUGUGCCUGGAGCUUAGUGAGUUGACCUUCCUGAACCCAUCCCAACCAAAGUUUUGGAUCCAAGGUGGAGGAUGUCCUCUUUUACUAAUCCAAAAAGCUCCUGACUUAUGCCAAUUGAUGAUAAGACCUGAUGCUAAGGAGAUUUUUUCUAGUGUCUCAACCA